CUACCAAAAGAACAAAAAAGGAUGAGCAGAAUAAAAUAAUUUUGCAGAGGCUUCAGGGCCAAUUGGAGGCAGAGCUCAGAUUGGAACCCAGAAGAACUGGACUCCAAGACCUGUGAACUUAAGCAUGUGCAACAUCCUAGACGAAACUCAGCUGGUGGAAGAGGAGCAUAGGGAGGUGUCCUGAAGAAAUCGGGCCCAAGCUUUUAGCCAUCAUCUUCCAGUGGAGUCACAUGCAGUGUGCGUCAUUGUCCCAGCCAGAUGUAUGAACACCUGAGCAGAGUGCUGUCAAACAGGGUCAGGUCUGCUCAGCAACUCAGUAUGCUGACUUUAUUUGCUGAGAGAGAAACAGAGAUAAGAAAGAGAAGGAAGAGGAAAAGGAAAAGGAGGAAGAGGAGGAGAAAAAAGAAGAAACUCUGCCUCUAAGUAAUUGCUAAUUCCUUUAGGAAUUUCUAACCAAUGGAUCUAAAUUACUAUAUCCUAUCUUGAGACUGUGUUUUUGCUACCACUCCCCAACCCUCACCCUAACCCAAUAUUAUCUUCUGUCUAUUAUUUAAUAUUUAAUGAAGAGUUCUUUCAGAAGGGUGUUCUUUUAAAUGUAAUUGAUAUGGAAGUGCUGGGAAGGGAAGAAUGUGGUCCCUUUAAAUGAUACAGAAUGGGGCAAGGAAAGUGCUGGAUAGAGGAAGGCAUUAGUUGCUGGCUAGGGCUCUACCACCAUGGGCCUAGGUGAGGACAGCCAUUUCUGUUUUCCUGUCCAAAUGUGGCAUUUUCCAAGACCACCCUGGCCUGCCACACCCCCAUUCUAGGCUUAUAAAAACCCAAGAUGCUAGUAAGGCAAAGACACAAGCUGCUAGAUAUGGAGAGGAGCAGAUCAGUGGAUGAAGACACAGGUGGCUGGACUCUGAGAGAACGUCAAGAGGAGCACGCCGGCAGAAGAGCACAUCGACAGAAGCUGGCAUCCGG
rnacentral:lncRNA from 1 species